rnacentral:rRNA from 1 species
AUGGAGAGGCUGGGUCUCCUUGAAGAUGAUCUGGAUGAUGUAGUUUUUGAGGAACAAGAAGCACCCCCACCGGAGUCGAUCAGAUGGAUGGCGUUGGCUCGGGUUCACACGGAGAAGGGUUACAGCCAGUAUUGGUUCUUCAAGACAAUGAGGGCGGCAUGGGAUCUGGCCCAAGAGGUAAAGAUUAGACCACUGGAAGAUAAUCUAUACACCUUGCAAUUCUCGUGUUUAGGCGAUUGGGAG